UGGGGAAUAUUGGGCAAUGGGCGCAAGCCUGACCCAGCAACGCCGCGUGAAGGAAGAAGGCCCUCGGGUUGUAAAACUUCUUUUAUUCGGGACGAAACAAAUGACGGUACCGAAUGAAUAAGCCACGGCUAACUACGUGCCAGCAG
rnacentral:rRNA from 1 species